CUUGUCGCACUGUAUCAACGUUUUUACUAAAGCGUUGAAAAAUUGUUCACUAAAUUUAACUUACAACAAAAAACUACAACUAAGCAACUGUACACUAAAUAAGUAGUCUUUUUAAUUUUCAAAUCGGCACUUUAUCCAUGCAGUUUGAAAGUAUUUACAAAUUAUCCAGAUGUAGAUACAAAAAAAUAAAUCAUAAUGUUAGAAAUAAGAAAUGCUCUAAUGUUCAUUGUUAGAUACGUAAUUAAUUAAAAUUGUACAGUAGGUAAAAUUAAUAUUACACACAUACCUACCUAGAUGUAAUUUUUAUUUUCUCUGAUUUUGAUGUUUUCAUUCAGAUAUUUGAAUAUUGUACCCGAUAAUAUAAUAUUAAAAUAUAUUACUACUCAGAGGCUUUUAGUGCCUGUGUCUUAAGUUACAUACAAGGCAUACAGAAUUUAAGAAGCCUAAAUUCAUAAAAAUUGAAAAACAUAAGGCUAUCGAAGGCCUAGGUUUAGUAUAAACAUUCAAGGAAUAUAAGUA